rnacentral:rRNA from 1 species
GACGAACGCUGGCGGCGUGCUUAACACAUGCAAGUCGAACGAUGAAGCCUAGCUUGCUAGGUGGAUUAGUGGCGAACGGGUGAGUAAUACGUGAGUAACCUACCUUUAACUCUGGGAUAAGCCCGGGAAACUGGGUCUAAUACCGGAUACGACCAAUCUCCGCAUGGGGUGUUGGUGGAAAGCGUUAUGUAGUGGUUAUAGAUGGGUUCACGGCCUAUCAGCUUGUUGGUGUGGUAACGGCUCACCAAGGCGACGACGGGUAGCCGGCCUGAGAGGGUGACCGGCCACACUGGGACUGGGACACGGCCCAGACUCCUACGGGAGGCAGCAGUGGGGAAUAUUGCACAAUGGGCGCAAGCCUGAUGCAGCGACGCCGCGUGAGGGAUGACGGCCUUCGGGUUGUAAACCUCUGUUAGCAGGGAAGAAGAGAGAUUGACGGUACCUGCAGAGAAAGCGCCGGCUAACUACGUG